AGAGCGAACGCUGGCGGCAGGCCUAACACAUGCAAGUCGAGCGCCCGUAGCAAUACGGGAGCGGCAGACGGGAUAGUAACACGUGGGAACGCGCCCUUCGGUUCGGAAUAACUCAGGGAAACUUGAGCUAAUACCGGAUACGCCCUUACGGGGAAAGAUUUAUUGCCGAAGGAACGGCCCGCGUCCGAUUAGCUAGUUGGUGAGGUAAUGGCUCACCAAGGCGACGAUCGGUAGCUGGUCUGAGAGGAUGACCAGCAUCACUGGGACUGAGACACGGCCCAGACUCCUACGGGAGGCAGCAGUGGGGAAUAUUGGACAAUGGCGCAAGCCUGAUCCAGCCAUGCCGCGUGGAUGAUGAAGGCCUUAGGGUUGUAAAGUCCUUUUAACGGGGAAGUAUAAUGACGGUACCCGUAGAAUAAGCCCGGCUAACUUCGUGCCAGCAGCCGC
rnacentral:rRNA from 1 species